rnacentral:misc_RNA from 1 species
AAAAAAAAACAAAGAAAGCAGCCCCCGCCAAUUUCAUUCUGCAAAAACAAAAGACUGACUGACCCCAGCCGAGCUGAAACGCCAACUCCCACUCCCUGCUGAAUACGACAUUGUCGUUUCAAUUCAUUUCCUUCUUUUUCUCUCUCUGGCCAUCAGCGAUUCCUUUUUUUCGCACCCAUAGAUCCUUUCUUGCUUUUUCUUCUCAUCGCUAAAAUUCAUCUCCGAAUUCAAUUUUAAGUAAUAUUUUUUUUUAAUAAACAAGGAGAGCUGGAUCCAUUACAGGAACCAGCGCAGUCCUUGAAGGCAACCGCCGCAGCCAACGGCCAGAUCCGUUAUCGCUCCCCUUCCUCCGCCGAACUCUUAGAGACUGGGGCUUCCUCUGCCACUACCAGUUCUUCCGCCGCCGUCGCCAGUUCUCCCACCCAUUCCGACCACCUCCUCCACCAAUUGCCCUCCGAAAAGAUGAAGCGCCCGGUGCCUCGGCAUGAGUCUUUGUUCGAUAAGAUCCACAGGUACCGGGGUGUUCUCUUGGUCAUUUCGAUCCCGCUUCUCUUGAUUGCAUUUGUCUUGUUCGUCAUGCCAAGUCGCUCUCCAGCCGCCGUCUUGGAUGAGUACGAGUUUAAUAACCGGAAGAUGUCGCCGAAUUUGAAGGAUGCAAAUAGAUACGCGGUUAUUUUUGAUGCGGGUAGUUCAGGAAGUAGAGUGCAUGUCUAUUGUUUUGAUCGAAAUAUGGACCUUGUUCCCAUCGGCAAAGAUCUCGAGCUUUUUCUCCAGAUUAAACCAGGUUUGAGUGCAUAUGCAAGUGACCCAGAUGCUGCAGCAAGUUCUCUUCUUCCCCUGCUUGAUAAAGCAGAAAGUGUAGUACCCAAAGAGCUCCGAUCGAAAACACCUGUCAGAGUUGGGGCUACUGCAGGCUUGAGGGCAUUGGGUGGUGAGGCAUCAGAAAGAAUUUUGGAUGCGGUUAGGGAUCUUCUGAAAGAUAAGAGUACCCUGAAGUCUGAGGCAGAUGGAGUAACUGUUCUGGAUGGUUCUCAAGAAGGUUCAUAUGAAUGGGUGACAAUAAAUUACCUAUUAGGAAAAUUGAGCAGAUCAUAUUCUGAGACAGUUGGAGUGGUUGAUCUUGGUGGUGGAUCUGUUCAAAUGGCAUAUGCUAUCUCUAAGAUGGAUGCUGAAAAGGCUCCAAGGGUAUCAGAUGGAGAGGAUUCAUAUAUAAAAGAAAUGCGUCUGAUGGAUACUGACUAUUACCUAUAUGUUCACAGUUACCUUCACUACGGUUUAUUGGCAGCUCGAGCAGAAAUUCUGAAGGUUUCUGAAGGCUCUGACAAUGCAUGCAUCUUGGCUGGUUAUGAUGGGGUUUACAAAUAUGGAGGAAUAGAGUAUAAAGCAUCAGCUGCUUCUUCUGGUUCAAGCUUUGAAGGAUGCAGGAGUCUUGCUUUGAAGGCUCUCAAAGUUAAUGACUCAGAAUGCACGCACAUGAAAUGCACAUUUGGUGGAGUAUGGAAUGGUGGAGGUGGGGAUGGACAAAAAAAUAUGUUUGUUGCUUCAUUCUUUUUUGACAGGGCUGCUGAGGCUGGUUUUAUUGAUCCUGCUCUACCUGUUGCCAAAGUUCAUCCUGUGGAUUUUGAGGAGGCAGCUAAGCGCGCUUGUGAAACUAAACUUGAGGAUGCAAAAUCUGCAUAUCAACGUGUAGAGGUGGAUAACCUGCCAUACUUAUGCAUGGAUCUUGUCUACCAGUAUACAUUGCUUGUAGACGGAUUUGCUCUUGAACCAUGGCAAGAAAUUACAUUAGUGAAGCAGAUUAAGUACCAGGAUUCCCUUGUUGAAGCUGCAUGGCCACUGGGCAGUGCCAUAGAGGCUGUGUCAUUAUCAGCAUGAUUGUAGAUUACAUCCUGCUUGAUCAGCAAGUGGAAAUUCCUCGCAUUUAUCAGCUUGUAACAGAUCUACAGAGUUUAUAAUGCUUGAGAAGUCACCGGCACGUGAAAUGGAAAUUGGAUUUUGUCCAUGUAUCACAGGAAUAAUGAGAAAGGAAUAGCUCCAUUUACCAUCAUUUGUAAUUACAUUACAAAAGGUUCAGAUUUAUGAUUUUUGAGAGAAUGAUUCAAUUCAUUUA